AACUCUAUGCUUCUAACCACUGUAUUCUACUGCCACAUGCAACAGAAACUUACACCCUGCAUUUAUACCCAUGGUGCAAGUGGGAGGGUGUAGGGGUGUGUGUUUUUUUCUUAUGGGAAAGCCAUUCCAGGAUGCCGUAUGUUCGGUGUUAGCUACCAUUGCGGGUCCACUGACAAUCACCCUACCUUUUUAUUUUGUCCUAUGUGCUUAGGAGAAUGGCUUGCACAUAGAAAUCCUAUUCAGCCUUAGCAUAAAUACAAUUGUCAAAGUUCUCCUCCGACCUCCAUCUCUUCUACAGUCACGCAUGCCCCUAGGCACAACUUCACAUCCUAGUGGCAUUCACCAAAGGCAUAGAAUCAUACGAGGGACUCUCUAGGCUAGCAGUUCUCAACUUUGAUAUGAAUAUGGGAACCACCUGGAGAGCUUUCAAAAAUCCAGUUGCUUAGGCCAUAACCAGAUAAUUACAUUGGAUUACCUGGUGGAGUGACUCAGGCAUCAUGAUUUUUAAAGCUUAGUGAUUACAAUGUACAGCCAAGUCUCCAACAACAGAGGCUGAGGUGCCACUCUUGUAGGGUGAGUGAUAGUUUAGAAAAGAUUGCAGAGUCACAGCUGUGGUCCCUGACAGUUCAUGUGGUUAUUUCUGACGGAUAUGCCCCUUGUUUCUUCAUUUUCUUAUGUUAUAGUGGUUUCAGUUUGAGUCAGGGGACCAUACCAAACUCCAUUUGAGCACUGGAGUGUGGAGUUGCAGCUCCAGGAUUAAAUAAAGUGACAGCUCUGUAUUUAGUGUGUUCUUAUUUAUUCAAUAGAACCUCACAGUGAUGACAAA